rnacentral:lncRNA from 1 species
AAGCAACGUUCAGGAACAUCCUUGAUGGGAGACCUGUACAAGGUGUGUUUCCUGAUUUCAUAACUUACAAAGCUGAGACAGUGAAAACUGACUGUUGAAGGGUACAAGGCGUGAAUCUGCUUGAGCAGGUGUA